CUAACAAGGAUUCCCCUAGUAACUGCGAGUGAAGCGGGAAAAGCUCAAAUUUGAAAUCUGGCAGUCUAUUUUUUCUUCUUUGGCUGUCCGAAUUGUAAUCUAGAGAAGUGCUUACCUGCACUGGACCAUGUAUAAGUCUCCUGGAAUGGAGCGUCGCAGAGGGUGAGAAUCCCGUCUUUGACAUGGACUGCCAGUGUGUUGUGGUGUGCUCUCAAAGAGUCGAGUUGUUUGGGAAUGCAGCUCUAAAUGGGUGGUAAACUCCAUCUAAAGCUAAAUAUUGGCGAGAGACCGAUAGCGAACAAGUACCGUGAGGGAAAGAUGAAAAGGACUUUGGAAAGAGAGUUAAACAGUAUGUGAAAUUGUUGAAAGGGAAACGCUUGAAGUCAGUUGUGUCGGUUAGGGAUCAACCUAGCUUUUUUUGCUGGGUGAAUUUCCUAGUCUGACAGGCCAACAUCAGUCUUGACUGCUGGAAAAGAGCAGGGGGAAUGUGGCACCUUUGGGUGUGUUAUAGCCUUUUGUCAUAUGUGGCAGUUGGGACUGAGGGAUGCAGCGUGCCGCGAGGCUGGGUUUCGACCACGUUCACGCUUAGGAUGUUGGCUUUUAAUGGCUUCAAUCGACCCGUCUUGAAACACGGACCAAGGAGUCUAACAUGCCUGCGAGUGUUUGGGUGGAAAACCCUUGCGCGCAAUGAAAGUGAAAGUUGAGAUCCCUGUCAUGGGGAGCAUCGACGCCCGGACUUGAGCUUUUAGCGACGGAUCCGCGGUAGAGCAUGCAUGUUGGGACCCGAAAGAUGGUGAACUAUGCCUGAAUAGGGCAAAGCCAGAGGAAACUCUGGUGGAGGCUCGUAGCGAUUCUGACGUGCAAAUCGAUCGUCAAAUUUGGGUAUAGGGGCGAAAGACUAAUCG
rnacentral:rRNA from 1 species